GUUUCGUGCUCACGGACAAGGUGUUCUGUUGAGAGCGAGUGCACUUCGAAUUACCGAAGAAAACCCCUACGACACGAUGUCUGCCCUGAUGAUGGCCGAGAACAAUUUGAGUCAGGUAGAGGUAAGUCCUACAUUAGCUGAUACACGGAGAUUGUUCAACCUUGUCCGCUGAACAAUAAUACUGGCGGAAGCCAUGUUUUUCAGAUCAAACUUCAUUCCGAGG